UGGCUCAGAACGAACGGUGGCGGCGUGCUUAACACAUGCAAGUCGAACGAUGAAGCUGGAGCUUGCUCUAGCGGAUUAGUGGCGAACGGGUGAGUAACACGUGAGCAAUCUGCCCUUGACUCUGGGAUAACUGCGGGAAACUGUAGCUAAUACCGGAUACGACGCUUGGAGGCAUCUCCGGGCGUGGAAAGAAUUUCGGUCAAGGAUGAGCUCGCGGCCUAUCAGCUAGUUGGUGAGGUAAUGGCUCACCAAGGCGACGACGGGUAGCCGGCCUGAGAGGGUGACCGGCCACACUGGAACUGAGACACGGACCAGACUCCUACGGG
rnacentral:rRNA from 1 species